rnacentral:lncRNA from 1 species
CAGGGUGCCCCCCUCUGCGGCCUGCUGCAGCACCGUUGGGAACCCCGCGGGGCAUCAGUAGGGAGCUGCUGCAGGAGGAAGGCGGCAAAGCGGUGCGUGGACCUGGGAGGAAGGAGCGAGCAAGAAGAGGAGCCGGAGCCUGCGGAUGGGCCAAGGAGAGGCGCCCUGGGCAAAAGCAUCUCCCUGUCACCAGGGACACAGUCAUGUUGCAGUAGAGCUUUGCCGGCACUCUGGAUGACCGGGCCGGCUUUGUGCUGGGCGACCUCCCUGUAACCAGGGCUCGGGUCUUUGCUGUAGUUGGCCUUUUGCCUCGUUGCUCCUUUGGCUGCCUGGGGAACGUGGGCCCCUGUAGGAAGGGCGAGAGCCACGUCCUCCGCACCCGAGUGGGGAAAUGGAGCUCGCUGGACCCCACGGCCCCCUGUAAGCAGGGUAGUGCCGUUUCCCUGCCGCUCUUGGUUUGGCCGCUCGGCGUUGUUGCCUGCUGGUGGCCUUGCCCGUGUGACGACCCUGUACUCGGGGUGCUUGUUCUGCUAUAUGGCCUUGGGCCUUUACGUGAGAAGCCCCGUGGCACGUUGAGGUCUGUGGCCUCCGUGCAGCCUGGGGGCGGGUCAGAGGCUCUUGUCUGCUUGCUCGCGGGGUACGGGGUUUUUUUUCCCCAGGCCUUGGCUGCACUGCCUUCUCCUUCCCUUCUGGAAAGCUGGUAUCUGUGUGUGUGCGUUCCCCUUCCUUCCCUUGUUUGUGUUUGCGUGUGAGCGAUGGUGCGAUUGAACCUUCCCUUUAGGCCUCCAUGAAAACAGCUGCAGCUUAGCUUUGGCUUCCCGGGGGGGAAUGGAGGACUUGGUGGAUGCAGCAAGGGGGAUGUUCCCUCUCAGUCCCGCGAGCGGCGCGAGUGUCCUCCUGUCUUGCCCCCUUUUUUUGCUAGGACGUUGCGGAGCCGUGUGGUAGUUGUGGGG